rnacentral:sRNA from 1 species
AGCUGUUUAAUUUUAUCUGCAGUCUGCACUGACGUCAACUUUCCUGCUUGCCUCUUGCCUUGGAAGUUGGGUUCGGAAUACCUAUAAAUGUAUUUCUCCACGAUGUCAGUUAUUCGUUUAACUAGAGUGUUUAGAAAUCUAAAAAGUUUGAAUAGUUGUGGAGUAUGUGUAGUUAAUAGAAUGAAAACUACUUCAGCUACUGGUGCUAUUCUUUCAGAACCAAAACGUACCCCUUUUGGGCUAGUGGGGGUUGUUGUGCAGUAGUGCCAGUUUAUUGAUUGGGGCUGCUAUAAGUAAAACAUUGCCAAUUUUUUGGAAGAAAACGAUCUUUUCGUUCCUUCAGAUGACGACGAUGAUGACGAUUGAAUUAUAGUACCGCAAAUCAUAACCCAAAUAUUUCAAAUGUUACCAAGUUUUUACCUUUCAAUCCUCUUAUAUUACAGUUUUAUAGUAGCCUAAAAGUUUUCAAAAUUCAUUCAAUAGUUUAAUAAUUGAAAUAAUUAUUGGUGCUCUGUGGAAAUAAUCUCAUUUGUUGAAUGCAGUGAAGAGGAAAAAACUUAUCUGAGAGGCUUGUGUACAAGGAAAUUGUUCUUGAAAGGAAAACUGUACAAAAUAAAGAAGCUGGUCUAAAAACCGAAAAUCGACUCCAAACAGAGGUAUUCUAUGCACAACGUUUUGUUGGGUCACUGUUUUUUUUUUGGACUGUUUCUGAAAACUUAAAUUUAUUACCGGUAUAGAUUUUAGCUUUAAUCUUUUUAUGUAUAUUAUACUAGUUUUAAUCUUGUAUGAUACACAUAAUUCAUACCUUGCCUCUGUACUUAUCAAUAUAUUAUUGAAAUUUUA